AUUGAACGCUGGCGGCAUGCUUUACACAUGCAAGUCGAACGGUAACAGGCCGCAAGGUGCUGACGAGUGGCGAACGGGUGAGUAAUGCAUCGGAACGUGCCCAGUCGUGGGGGAUAACGCAGCGAAAGCUGCGCUAAUACCGCAUACGAUCUAUGGAUGAAAGCGGGGGACCGUAAGGCCUUGCGCGAUUGGAGCGGCCGAUGUCAGAUUAGGUAGUUGGUGGGGUAAAGGCGCAACAAGCCAACGAUGUGUAGCUGGUCUGAGAGGACGACCAGCCACACUGGGACUGUGACACGGCCCAGACUCCGACGGGAGGCAGCAGUGGGGAAUAUUGGAGAAGGGGCGAAAGCGUGAUACCGAAAUGCCGCGUGCAGGAUGAAGGCCUUCGGGUUGUAAACUGCUUUUUUACGGAACGAAAAGCUUCUGGUUAAUACCAUGGAGUCAUGACGGUACCGUAAGAAUAAGCACCGGCUAACUACGUGCCAGCCGCCGCCGUAACAC
rnacentral:rRNA from 1 species